rnacentral:rRNA from 1 species
GGAGUGGCAUGCCAUGGGCGCAGCCUGAUGCAGCAACGCCGCGUGAGGGAUGACGGCCUUCGGGUUGUAAACCUCUUUUAGCAGGGAAGAAGCGAAAGUGACGGUACCUGCAGAAAAAGCGCCGGCUAACUACGUGCCAGCAGCCGCGGUAAUACGUAGGGCGCAAGCGUUAUCCGGAAUUAUUGGGCGUAAAGAGCUCGUAGGCGGUUUGUCGCGUCUGCUGUGAAAUCCGGAGGCUCAACCUCCGGCCUGCAGUGGGUACGGGCAGACUAGAGUGCGGUAGGGGAGAUUGGAAUUCCUGGUGUAGCGGUGGAAUGCGCAGAUAUCAGGAGGAACACCGAUGGCGAAGGCAGAUCUCUGGGCCGUAACUGACGCUGAGGAGCGAAAGGGUGGGGAGCAAACAGGCUUAGAUACCCUGGUAGUCCACCCCGUAAACGUUGGGAACUAGUUGUGGGGUCCAUUCCACGGAUUCCGUGACGCAGCUAACGCAUUAAGUUCCCCGCCUGGGGAGUACGGCCGCAAGGCUAAAACUCAAAGGAAUUGACGGGGACCCGCACAAGCGGCGGAGCAUGCGGAUUAAUUCGAUGCAACGCGAAGAACCUUACCAAGGCUUGACAUAUACGAGAACGGGCCAGAAAUGGUCAACUCUUUGGACACUCGUAAACAGGUGGUGCAUGGUUGUCGUCAGCUCGUGUCGUGAGAUGUUGGGUUAAGUCCCGCAACGAGCGCAACCCUCGUUCUAUGUUGCCAGCACGUAAUGGUGGGAACUCAUGGGAUACUGCCGGGGUCAACUCGGAGGAAGGUGGGGAUGACGUCAAAUCAUCAUGCCCCUUAUGUCUUGGCUUCACGCAUGCUACAAUGGCCGGUACAAGGGCUGCAAUACCGCGAGGUGAGCGAAUCCCAAAAGCCGGUCCCAGUUCGGAUUGAGGUCUGCAACUCGACCUCAUGAAGUCGGAGUCGCUA